rnacentral:tRNA from 1 species
GGAGAGUUGUCCGAGUGGUUGAAGGAGCACGCCUGGAAAGCGUGUGUACGGGAAACUGUAUCGAGGGUUCGAAUCCCUCAUUCUCCG